AAGACUAAGUUGAUUAGAACAUCUGAGCUGAGGUUCCUUCAGAAGGUACCAACUCUGAAGACUCCCAAGAUCCCCAACCAACCUGGCCCCAGCCCUCAGCGGAAAGGCUAAACAAGAGAAGGGGCGCCUCAAAGUGAACAAGGACCUUUGGAGACAGAACAGUCUGGGCCAAAAGCUCUGCCCAGCCUGUGCUUUCCAGCCCCUCUCCCGCCCAGGCGGACCGCCUUCUCCAGUGCAACUAGACGGUUUGGACCUCUGAGAGGGGCGCGGGGCCGCCUCCCAACUCGCUGGCGUCCAGAUCAGAGCCCUGGAAGCUGCCAGGUGCCGUCGACAGGGCUCCGCGCUCCUGCCCGGGUCCGCGCUGCCCGCUCGACGUUCCACAGUGCGCGCGGCGCGCUGGGCUCCUGGGCGCCGGGAGCCAGGCUUGGGUGCCGCCCUCCGCGCCUGCAGGAGAAAAACGCUACCUGUGGAAGUAAUGUGCGCAGAAGAGGCCCAGAAGGAAAGUCCCAGGCGGUCCGAAGAGGGAGCGGGGCUGCCAGGCGAGGAUCCCUGCGGACACCACGAAGGCGGGCAGCUCCUGCAGGAACCAGGCGGUGCGGGCGGGCAGGCAGGUACCCCCGGGCGCUGAGAUCUCCAUGUGCUUCCCAUAGCUGAAGGGCUUGGUGAGGUACAGAGUCAGUGCCCCCAGGGUGGCUACAGUGGCGCUACCUGCCAGCAUCGGACUUUGCGCGCACCGAACCGGCAUCGCGCAGCGUUCACUGCCGGUGACCGCCCCGCGCAGAGAACAGAGCGGCCCCCACAGCCCCUUUAUGAAGCUCUAGACGCCACCCGGUGUCCGCCCCUUUGGCCCGGGCUCCCUCCCCUCUGUCGUGCCUCCCACCUCGGCGCGGCCCGCCCUGCCUCGGCUCAGCAGCGAUGCCCCUUUCUCAGCACUGACUUUUCAGGCUGCAGCCCCGGCAGAGAGGAGGACGAAGACUUUUGUGGUGCCAAAGUUGUCCUGGGCCGCCUGCCCCCGCCCACGCGCCUGCCCUCUCUACGGCUUUCCACUGGUCUCUCCCCUUAGGCUGGCUACCCUUUGAUGACUUGUUCCGCGCCCAUCAACCGCUGAUGCCGCAAGUUCUGGGACGAAGCAAUAAGGAAUAGAAAAACACAGAGACAAUUUGGCCACGUAGGUCUGACUCCCCAAACGCACACCUUGUGCCCUCGCCACGCAGCCCCCACGUUCGAACCUCCAAGCCAGGAUCUCCCUAACUCAUCGAUGUCCUUAUGCUCACUCCCUGCAGUUCCCACUCAACCCUGGAUCCUUCCUUCGACCCUAGACCUGGCAUUCUGGCGCUUGUACUGUCCACUAUCCCCUCUGCUGUUGGCGGGCUGCCCUGCUCCUUUACCACUGUUAACAUCAGUAUCAGCUCUGUGCUCAGCAGGACCCCCAGGCAGGUCCCUGUCUCUAAUUCCCUGGCGGUUUCUCUUUGCAUCUGCACGUGUGUACGGAGCUUCCCACUUCAAUCAGAGCUGGGUUCGCUGGGCGCAGGCGUGGACGCACCUGCCCAUCCGCCCUCCCCUGAAACUGUCACAUACUCCGGCUUAAGUCUGGGGUUUCUCCCGCGGGACUCCCUCUUCCAGCUCUGGAGCGGGUGCGUCAGGUUUCCUAAGCUGCUGACCUUGGUGAUGCCACUGACCUCCAAACAUCUGUCCAGCCUUCAUGCUCUGGACCCGGUUCUUUCUCUCUUCCCUUCCUCCUCAGUCACCACGCCCUCGUUUUACCUCUUCCCUUCCCUGAUUCGGCUUCCAGCUUUUCUUGGCUGCCUCCUCCUCUGUAUUGUUUCCCUCUUUCCCCCCAUCCUUCUUUUUUCUAUAUGUCCUGGGUUUCUCCCUCUAGGUUCACCUGCUUUCCUUGAUUACCCUACCUUCCUUGAUUACUUUACCCCUAUUGUCCCUCUGGGCUCUGCUUGGUGGUCAACUCUAGGCCCUCCCCUUUCUCUCACUCCUCAUUUGGGAAGUUCUUCACCAUUCCCCCUUAGCUCCGACUCACCACCCCGCCGAAGACCCUCUCAGCAUUUCCCCAUCCGCUCCAGCCAGGGCCCCCAGCGGGUGCAGAAAAGGCACAGUCCCUCAUCUUCUCCAGUUUGGGAUGCGUUCUGAUUCUUGGGACACUGUGGUGAUGCUUUAGUGCUCCAGAGCAUCUUCUGCUGCUGACCAAAAGUUCUGGAGGCUACAAGUCCAGGAUCAAGUUUCAACCAAUUCAGUUUCUGGGGAAGGCUCUCUUCCUGGCUUGUAGAGAGCUACCUUCUUGCUAAAUCUUCACAUGGUCUUUCUUCAGUGAAUUCAUGAAGUUUUAAAGAGAGAAAGGUGGAUCCAAGACCUAAAUAUAAAGAUCUGAAACUAUGAAAAUGCUAGAAUAACACAUAAGGGAAACAGUUCAACAUACAGCACAGGCAAUGACUUCCUCAAUAGGACUCUUGUUGCUCAGGAAGUACCAGCAAGAAUCCACAAAUGGGACUGCAUCAAGUUUAAAAACCGCACAACAAAGGAAACAACAGUGAGGAGACAGUCUAAAGGGGAAAAAUCUCUAACACAUAAUCUCCCAAAAGAGGAUUGAUACCCAGAAUAUAUAAAAAACUCAAAAACUGAACACCAAAAUAAACAAACAAUAACAAAAAAAAUCAAUAAAUGGGCAAAUGAACUGAGUAGAUACUUCUCAAAAGGAGACGUACAAAUGGCCAAUAAUUACACUAAAAAAAAGUUCAACAUCUUUAGCCAUCAGGGAAAUGCAAAUCAAAACUACAUUGAGAUUCCAUCUCAACCUAGUCAGAAUGGCUGUCCUCAAGAAUAUAAAUACAUACGUACAUACAUACAUACAUACAUACUGGGGAAAAAGAAACCCUGAUAACUGUUGGUAUAAAAAUUGUUGGAAUAUAAAUUGGUCCAGUCACUAUGGAAAUAAGUAUGGAGUUUCCUCAGAAAAGCUUAAAAAAAGAACUACCUAUUAUACAAUCCAAUUAUACCAUUCCUUGGAAUAUAUAUAAAAAAAAUUAAAGUCAGCCCACUAUAGAGAUACCUACAUACCCAUGUGUAUCAUAACACAAUUCACAAUAGCCACAAUAUGGAAUCA